CGGGGGGGCAAGCGUUGUUCGGAAUUACUGGGCGUAAAGGGCUCGUAGGCGGCCAACUAAGUCAGACGUGAAAUCCCCAGGCUCAACCUGGGAACUGCGUCUGAUACUGGUUGGCUUGAAUUCGGGAGAGGGAUGCAGAAUUCCAGGUGUAGCGGUGAAAUGCGUAGAUAUCUGGAGGAAUACCGGUGGCGAAGGCGGCAUCCUGGACCGACAUUGACGCUGAGGAGCGAAAGCUAGGGGAGCAAACGGGAUUAGAUACCCCGGUAGUCCCAGCCCUAAACGAUGAAUGCUUGGUGUGACGGGUAUCGAUCCCUGUCGUGCCGAAGCUAACGCAUUAAGCAUUCCGCCUGGGGAGUACGGUCGCAAGGCUG
rnacentral:rRNA from 1 species